GGGAAGAUAAUGACGGUACCCACAGAAGAAGCCCCGGCUAACUUCGUGCCAGCAGCCGCGGUAAUACGGAGGUGGCGAGCGUUGUUCGGAAUGACUGGGCGUAAAGGGAGCGCAGGCGGCCUUUUAAGUCCGGCGUGAAAGCCCGGGGCUCAACCCCGGCGGGUCGGCGGAUACUGGGAGGCUGGAGUACGGAAGAGGAGAGUGGAAUUCCGGGUGUAGCGGUGAAAUGCGUAGAUAUCCGGAGGAACACCGGUGGCGAAAGCGGCUCUCUGGUCCGAUACUGACGCUGAGGCUCGAAAGCGUGGGGAGCAAACGG
rnacentral:rRNA from 1 species